GAAAUGCGAUAAGUAAUGUGAAUUGCAGAAUUCAGUGAAUCAUCGAAUCUUUGAACGCACAUUGCGCCCCCUGGCAUUCCGGGGGGCAUGCCUGUCCGAGCGUCAUUGCUGCCCUUCAAGCCCGGCUUGUGUGUUGGGUCAUCGUCCCCUCCGGGGGACGGGCCCGAAAGGCAGCGGCGGCACCGCGUCCGGUCCUCGAGCGUAUGGGGCUUUGUCACCCGCUCGAUAAGGACCGGCCGGGCGCCAGCCGGCGUCUCCAACCUUUUUUUCUCAGGUUGACCUCGGAUCAGGUAGGGAUACCCGCUGAACUUAAGC
rnacentral:misc_RNA from 1 species